ACUCAAAGGAAUUGACGGGGGCCCGCACAAGCAGCGGAGCAUGUGGUUUAAUUCGAAGCAACGCGAAGAACCUUACCAGGUCUUGACAUCCAGGUAAAGCUAUAGAGAUAUAGUGUGUGCUUGCACAAUCUGAGACAGGUGGUGCAUGGUUGUCGUCAGCUCGUGUCGUGAGAUGUUGGGUUAAGUCCCGCAACGAGCGCAACCCUUGUGAUCAGUUACUAACGCGUAGAGGCGAGGACUCUGAUAAGACUGCCGGGGACAACUCGGAGGAAGGUGGGGACGACGUCAAAUCAUCAUGCCCCUUAUGACCUGGGCUACACACGUGCUACAAUGGCCACAACAGAGAGAGGCGAAUUCGAGAGGAAGAGCGGAUCUCAGAAAAGUGGUCCCAGUUCGGAUUGUGGGCUGCAACCCGCCCACAUGAAGUCGGAGUUGCUAGUAAUCGCGGAUCAGCAUGCCGCGGUGAAUACGUUCCCGGGCCUUGUACACACCGCCCGU
rnacentral:rRNA from 1 species